rnacentral:lncRNA from 1 species
AGGUAUUAUAGUGUUCUGUGGGUAUUGUUCCAGGUAUUAUAGUGUUCUGUGGGUAUUGUUCCAGGUAUUAUAGUGUUCUGUGGGUAUUGUUCCAGGUAUUAUAGUGUUCUGUGGGUAUUGUUCCAGGUAUUAUAGUGUUCUGUGGGUAUUGUUCCAGGUAUUAUAGUGUUCUGUGGGUAUCGUUCCAGGUAUUAUAGUGUGUUCUGUGGGUAUUGUUCCAGGUAUUAUAGUGUUCUGUGGGUAUUGUUCCAGGUAUUAUAGUGUGUUCUGUGGGUAUUGUUCCAGGUAUUAUAGUGUUCUGUGGGUAUUGUUCCAGGUGUUACAGUGUUCUGUGGGUAUUGUUCCAGGUGUUACAGUGUUCUGUGGGUAUUGUUCCAGGUAUUACAGUGUUCUGUGGGUAUUGUUCCAGGUAUUAUAGUGUUCUGUGGGUAUUGUUCCAGGUAUUACAGUGUUCUGUGGGUAUUGUUCCAGGUAUUACAGUGUUCUGUGGGUAUUGUUCCAGGUAUUAUAGUGUUCUGUGGGUAUUGUUCCAGGUAUUACAGUGUGUUCUGUGGGUAUUGUUCCAGGUAUUACAGUGUGUUCUGUGGGUAUUGUUCCAGGUAUUAUAGUGUUCUGUGGGUAUUGUUCCAGGUAUUAUAGUGUUCUGUGGGUAUUGUUCCAGGUAUUAUAGUGUUCUGUGGGUAUUGUUCCAGGUAUUAUAGUGUUCUGUGGGUAUUGUUCCAGGUAUUAUAGUGUUCUGUGGGUAUUGUUCCAGGUAUUAUAGUGUUCUGUGGGUAUUGUUCCAGGUAUUAUAGUGUGUUCUGUGGGUAUUGUUCCAGGUAUUACAGUGUUCUGUGGGUAUUGUUCCAGGUAUUAUAGUGUUCUGUAAGUAUUGUUCCAGG